CGGGAGCCCACCGGCGUUCAGCUGCCGUUGCGCCCGACUCGGCCCAGGCCCGGGGGGUCGCGGCCCCAGGCGUCUCCAUGGUGCUGGCAUCUGAGGCGGGUGUGAAGCAAGGCAGGGCGAGGCCGUUCGGCUGCCUUUGCUUUUGGAAUCACUCAACGAACGUAUUUCAAAGGGGACGAGCAUGCUGUGUCGACUUCACCUCUAUGGUUUUCCGAGGCUUUAGACUGGACAGCUGUCCUGCAAAAGACCAGCCAGAAGAAACUAGAAGAGUAGAGAAAAAUUUCUUCCUCCCCCACAGUUGGCAUAGCUGGGAGGAUGUACUUCCUCAGCUGGACUCUGCUCUCUCUGAGGCUGCUGCAACUGAGAGAUCCUGGGACAUCUGACAAGCACCGGCAGAAGCAGGACACAAUUGGAAACUGGUUCCAUUACCAAGGCUUUGACUGGAAUGUCAUAUUUGAGAGAGAAUGUACAUAGACACAGGUGUGACCGGACAGCUUUAAGGAACCAAAGUUGACUUUAUGGAGCCAAUAAAGCCUCUUGAAAAUAUUAGUCUAAUAUCUUGCUUAUAGUGUUCC
rnacentral:lncRNA from 1 species